rnacentral:rRNA from 1 species
GACGAACGCUGGCGGCGUGCUUAACACAUGCAAGUCGAACGAAGUGGCGAACGGGUGAGUAACGCGUAAUCAACCUGCCCUUCAGAGGGGGACAACAGUUGGAAACGACUCCUAAUACCGCAUACUGAAGGAGUGGUUUGUGUCUGAUUAGCUCGUUGGAGGGGUAACGGCCCACCAAGGCGAUGAUCAGCAGGCGGUCUGGGAGGGUGAACGGCCAAAAGGGGACUGGGACACGGGCCAGACGCCUACGGGGAGCAGCAGUGGGGAAUCUUCCGCAAUGGGCGAAAGUCUGACGGAGCAACGCCGCGUUAGUGAUGACGGCCUUCGGGUUGGAAAGCGCUGUUAAUCGGGACGCGGUACCGGAAUAGAAAGCCACGGCUAACUACGUGCCAGCAGCCGCGGUAAUUC